rnacentral:lncRNA from 1 species
GAGUUUGUGGCGACUUUCCUUUUCUUGUAUAUCACUAUUUUGACUGUUAUGGGAGUUGUUAAGGAAAAAACUAAGUGCCCAACUGUUGGGAUUCAAGGGAUUGCUUGGGCUUUUGGUGGUAUGAUCUUUGCUCUUGUUUACUGCACUGCUGGCAUUUCAGGUAAACUUUCUUUCCUCCCCCUUUGUUUGUUUCUCGAGAAAACCAGAAUGAAUAUGCAAUUCUUUUUCCUCUUUGGGUUCUUUUCAAAUAUAAAAACUGUAUGAAGAAAACUAAUAAAAAUGGCAUCUGUACGGUGGUGGUGGAUAGGUGGCCAUAUCAACCCGGCAGUGACUUUUGGACUGUUCUUGGCGAGGAAGCUGUCGUUGACGAGGGCA